CUUUCGUUUUACCUGCCCCAUUAUCUCACAUUGUCUCGUUUCAACAAGUUAGUGUCAUUACUUGUACUUGUUAACUAGGCCGAGCAAAAUUACUCGACCCGUCCGAAACUGUUAAAUCCGAGAGAGAAAAUAUGAAUUCGGUUUGAUGAAUUUGGGUUCGAAUUGAACAGAUAAAAAUAUUUGGAUAAAUACGGAUACAGAUAGUCGGAUACGAGUAUCAAAUUAAACAUUCGUGGAUACCCAACCCGACCCAGUAUCAUUAAUUCUAAAUUUUCAAACCCUAAUUUGCUAAUUUCCUAUUGCCAUUCCUUAUUCUUCUGCAUCUCCAAUAUGAUUGAAAUCCAAAAGGAACUUCCAAAUCCCUCUGGUCCUGUGGGAACACCAUAAAAAUGAUUUUGUUUUUGAAGGGGUGCCUAGAAGGCAGUCGAAGCUUGCGACGUGUCAGGUGAGUGCGUGCGGUGGACCAAUCUGCUCUGAUGUGCUUUGGUUUGCUUCCAUCUUGCUCGAUCUGCUCUACUAUGCUUCUAUCUGGUUCGAUCUGCUGUGAUAUGGUCUGAUCUUCGUCGAUCUGGUUCGUGGGUUACGGCGCAGUGGCGUCUACUUGGUCUCUGAAACUAGGUUGGAAAUUACUUAUCCCUAUCAAUCUUACAUUUUUAUUUAUUUAUUCGGGUAAUCUGUUAUCCAUCCGUUUUUAA